CAUUUUGCCUCCUUUAGGAGCAGGGCUAGAUGUCCUACAAUUCUCUGCAUUAGUUGAGCCCAUGGACAGUAACAGCCAUAGUCUGAGAUAUAAAAAAAAAAACAGCACAUCGCCCAGAAAAAAGCCUGGGCCCUGUGCUUUUGGGAUUCUAUUCGCACGUGUUUCGGACUGGCAAGACUCAAACCCAGAAAGAGGGACUCCCUGAGAGGGGAAAGGCGGACGUGCAGGGCCACUCUGGCCUAAGUCUUCUCUGUGGAUCGAAGCAGAAGGUGAAGGAUCUAAAACCUGAAAAGAGGCCAAAUGAUUCCUCAAAACCACGCAAGUACGAAGUAGCAGAGCGGAUCUCAAAUCCAGAGCACUGCGUGUUUUGAAAUAUACAAAUAGUGGGAAACGAAAUCUUUGUUCUGGAUGCAGUUAUAAUUUGGAAAGCGAGGAAAUAAAUUAUAACAAGGGGAAAAAACAGACACAGAGGGAUUGAAAUGCAUAACAAUAGAGAUGAAACACGAAGAGUGAUAAAUGAAGAUUGAGUGUGCACACCUUCUGGAGGAGCCCUGAUUGAGUAUUUUAAAAUACUACUAAAGUCAUGCCGUGUGACUUCUGAAGCUAGCUCCUAAGAAGUCCUUGCAGCUUCUGCCUGCGACUCUUAGAACACUUGCUUUGAAGGAUGCCAGAUGCUGUCUUAAAAGUCUGAGCACUCUGAAACCAUCAUGCUGUGAGGAAGCCCAAGCUAACCACAUGGGCAAAAAAGAUGCCCUCUGACUGCCACCAUUUGAGACACUCUAAUUAAGAACUGCCUCAUUGAGCCCAUGAGGCCCUGUGAAUGAUAAUAAUAAAUUGUUUUUAACCAC
rnacentral:lncRNA from 1 species